AUUGAACGCUGGCGGCAGGCCUAACACAUGCAAGUCGAGCGGCAGCGGGAAGUAGCUUGCUACUUUGCCGGCGAGCGGCGGACGGGUGAGUAAUGUCUGGGAAACUGCCUGAUGGAGGGGGAUAACUACUGGAAACGGUAGCUAAUACCGCAUAAUGUCGCAAGACCAAAGAGGGGGACCUUCGGGCCUCUUGCCAUCAGAUGUGCCCAGAUGGGAUUAGCUAGUAGGUGGGGUAACGGCUCAUCUAGGCGACGAUCCCUAGCUGGUCUGAGAGGAUGACCAGCCACACUGGAACUGAGACACGGUCCAGACUCCUACGGGAGGCAGCAGUGGGGAAUAUUGCACAAUGGGCGCAAGCCUGAUGCAGCCAUGCCGCGUGUAUGAAGAAGGCCUUCGGGUUGUAAAGUACUUUCAGCGGGGAGGAAGGUGUUGAGGUUAAUAACCUCAGCAAUUGACGUUACCCGCGGAAGAAGCACCGGCUAACUCCGUGCCAGCCGCCGCGGUAACAC
rnacentral:rRNA from 1 species